GACGAACGCUGGCGGCGUGCUUAACACAUGCAAGUCGAACGGAAAGGCCCUGCUUUUGUGGGGUGCUCGAGUGGCGAACGGGUGAGUAACACGUGAGUAACCUGCCCUUGACUUUGGGAUAACUUCAGGAAACUGGGGCUAAUACCGGAUAGGAGCUCCUGCUGCAUGGUGGGGGUUGGAAAGUUUCGGCGGUUGGGGAUGGACUCGCGGCUUAUCAGCUUGUUGGUGGGGUAGUGGCUUACCAAGGCUUUGACGGGUAGCCGGCCUGAGAGGGUGACCGGCCACAUUGGGACUGAGAUACGGCCCAGACUGCUACGGGAGGCAGCAGUGGGGAAUAUUGCACAAUGGGCGGAAGCCUGAUGCAGCAACGCCGCGUGCGGGAUGACGGCCUUCGGGUUGUAAACCGCUUUAGCCUGUGACGAAGCGUGAGUGACGGUAAUGGGUAAAGAAGCACCGGCUAACUACGUG
rnacentral:rRNA from 1 species